UAGGGAAUCUUCCACAAUGGACGCAAGUCUGAUGGAGCAACGCCGCGUGAGUGAAGAAGGUUUUCGGAUCGUAAAGCUCUGUUGUUGGUGAAGAAGGAUAGAGGCAGUAACUGGUCUUUAUUUGACGGUAAUCAACCAGAAAGUCACGGCUAACUACGUGCCAGCAGCCGCGGUAAUACGUAGGUGGCAAGCGUUGUCCGGAUUUAUUGGGCGUAAAGCGAGCGCAGGCGGAAUGAUAAGUCUGAUGUGAAAGCCCACGGCUCAACCGUGGAACUGCAUCGGAAACUGUCAUUCUUGAGUGCAGAAGGGGGGAGUGGAAUUCCAUGUGUAGCGGUGGAAUGCGUAGAUAUAUGGAAGAACACCAGUGGCGAAGGCAGCUCUCUGAUCUGCAACUGACGCUGAGGCUCGAAAGCAUGGGUAGCGAACAGG
rnacentral:rRNA from 1 species